GCGCAACACUUACGUGAGCGACACUUCAAUUAAGAGGAAGUCGUCAAUAAAGACUCUCCGACCUCCCCCCUGACAGCCAGGCCUCCAGGGCCCUGCUCCUCAGCCCCGUUUGCAAGCCUCCUGCCCUCCUGCUCUUUAACGACUGGUGCGAUCUCAGGGAAAGGUGCGCUUUUUCUAUAAGAGGAAGGGAAGGCAGAGCCCAAAGGCCUAAAGCCCCGAGAAGAGACAAAGGCUGGGAGGGUCCGCUGUUCAGUGCUGAGCCGGGGGCACGCAGGGAGCAGGGACCCCUCCGGGCCCUGCAGCUGUGGGGCCCCCGCGAAGGACAGCAAGUGUGUUUCCACUGACUGAGAGGCGCCGCCCUGAGGCCCCUCCUGGCUCAGCUGGAGAGAGACCGUGAGGUUUGGGGCGGCGUUGGGUGAGGACCAUAGAGAUUCCGUUUGACCAUGGCAGACCCCCCCAGGCCUCGGGUCCCGCAGCCCCUCCAUCUCGGAGGGGUGGGGAGCUUGGUGACAGGGACCAGGGGAUUUUCAGACAGGAGAGCACUGCGUCUCCAUGUGGGCCUUCCCUCUCUGUCCUCGCUGGUCUUGGCCCCCCCCACCGCCCCCAGUCCUCGCACCCACUCCAGCACCCCGGACUGAGCCCCAGGCCCUCAGAGGUGCCCACAUGUCCUCCAGGAAGGGAGGGAAGACCUGUGUUGGCGACACCACCGUGGAGGAGGAGGAGGGCAGGUCACAGGCAUCCGGUUCCGAAGAGUCCAAAGGGGGUGUUGCUGGUGGAGGCCUAGAGGGACCAACAUCCCACCUGCCCUGGACCGAGGGGCUUCCUAGGGAUGACCCCCUGCUAAACCAGGGGUGUCCAGGGCUCUGACCCGGGUCCCUCACGUCCCACCAGGGGCCCUGGACCGAGUCCACCAGCUGCAGCUCCCUCCUCCACACCCUGCCAGCCUGUCCUGGUCCCUCGACGGCUGGGAUGGGGCAGGGAGCUGGCAGUCAUCACCCCUCCCCAAGACUCACUGCACGAGCCUGCGAAGGGCUGGCCUCACACCGCGUCUGUCUGUCUUGGGGUAUUUUUAGCCGUAAGUGCACUGGGAUGUGCAUUAGUGGGGCCCAGACACUGACAAAGCUUCCCUGUUGAUGGAUCAGAGCUCCGGGCUUCCGUGUGAAGGUUUAAUUUCACACAUUAAAUAAUUUACAGCUCUGGUGAGCAACUUAAGAAGUUACAUCUGCAAAUGCCAGUGUGUCUAAUUUUUUAGGUUUUUUUUUUAACUUUUAUUUGAAAGAACAGAGUUAAAAGAAAUCAGCUUUCAGGCUCUCUUCUCCCUCAGUUAAUGGUUUAUCUUCAGGAAGCUUGAUGGAAGUUGCUUGGAGAUGGUUGCAGGAAAUAAAGUGGAAAUUUGAUACUCAGAGCCAAGAAAGAGAGAGUGCGGAGGGGGAGAAGAGGGAAGGGGACAUGACGACACCAUCCGUGUUGUGCCGUGUGUGUGUGCGUGUGUGCUCCCCGAGCCCGUGGCACGAAGACGGAGACGUUGGGACCCACUGGCUUCACCGGUUUGGAAAGCUUUUCUCUUUUGUGGGGAGGGGAGGUAAGCAGGUUUAUUUGUUUAUUAUUUUUUUGAUGGAGGUACCGAGAAUCAAACCCAGGACCUCGUGAUGCUAAGCACACACCCCACCACUUGAGCUGAACCCCUUCUCACCGAUUUGAGAUAACCCAUUUUAUACUUGGAAAUGAGAGAGAACGUGUCAUUGUAUUUACCUGGUAUUUUGUCUAAAAGUGACCACACACACGUGACAGGGGUAAGAGAAAAAACGGCGAGUCGUGUCUCAUCACCCGCUGUGUCUGCCUUUCUCCCCGUGCCCCUCGCCCCUCCCGGACCCCCUGCCCGUGCUGGCCUCCCCGGGGGUCUGCAGAGGCCAGCAGGAGAAGGCAGAUGUGGGGCUUCUCCAACCGACACCUUUCCUCUCUCGAGAUGAAAGGCCGUCCACACAUGACAUGAACAUGGAUAAAUCUACGCGGCACCCACACUCCUGCUCGGAGAAGCACAAAGGAGAAACCGAGAGCAACGGAUAGCGAGACAUAAUUCUAGACUGAACCAUGACGACUCGCAAGUGAUAAGAGCCAUCCGUGUCCACAAAUCUCAGUGAUGUGACCCUGACCUUCAAGGCUGCUGCCUGACCUCUGCAAUGGGCAGGCUUCAGGAAGGAAGCUGAGGUCCCCCAAGCCCACAGGCGACAUCUACAGCAGAACGGAGUGACAGGGUUUCCCCCAGCCCACCAGCAGCUGGAAAAUCCCCGUGGCGUGCUUGUCUGUGGGCUAGACAUCGGAGGGCGCAGGGCCGCCCGGCGGCCCUGAGGACAGGCCUGCAGGGCGGCCGGACGGGCAGAGCAGAGGCCCGGACGCAGCACGUCUGCAGGCUCCAGACUCCAGGCGGUUGCUAGGUGACCACGGCGGCAUCUGAGCAGAACUUAGUAGACAAGGUGCCUUUCUGCCAACAAAGUAGAUGAAAUGCACAGACCCCUGCAGAAACAGAAACUACUGAAAACGACUCAAAAAGUUAGAGGAAAUAUGAAGACUUUUAACAAAGAGAUUUCAUCAGCAAUUAAACCUUUGACAGCAAGAGACGCCCAGACUCAGACGUGGCUUCACAACUCCCAGGAAGGAAGAACCAACACCAGCUCCUCUCAAGAAGGAGGGAGGCACUUCCUAACUCGCCCACAAGGCCGACAUCACCCUGACACCACGGCCGCUAAGACCGCAAUCACGGAGAAAAAGCCAAAAACAAAAAACUGCAGACCUACGUCCUUCGUGGAUGUAAAUGCAAAAACCCCCAACAAAAGAGCAGCAAAGAGAAGUGUGCGCUGUGGCCAAGGGACACUUCUCCCAAGAAUGGGAGUGGCUCGGCGUGCCAAAAUCCAUCCGUGCGACACGUCACUUCAACAGAAUAAAAGACAAAAGUCACAGGGUGCUCUCAGCCCACCUGGAGAAAGCGCUGGACGAAACCCAACUCCUUUUCACAAUUAAAAAAAGGGAAAACUUGAACUAGGGCUAGAAGGGACCGUCCUCAGUCUGACAAAGGCCACCGGGAAAAGCCCAGAGUUGACCAGCCUGAGAGCGUCCCCUCCGGGAGCAGGACGAGGACCCCACUUUUGCUGCCUCUAUUUCCCAUGGCAGCGGGGGGUCUAAGCGGGCAGUUAGGCAAGGGAGGCGGGAGGGAGAGAGACAAGGACAGCAGAGGAGAAGCAAGGUCGCCUCCGUGUCUGAAAUUCCCCAGGAGUCACCUGCGCGGUGGCGGGCGGGGCGGGCGGGGCGGGCACCAAGCGAAGAAGACAGUGAGCUGACGGCUGCUGAAGCUGGCUGACGGAUACAUUCUUUUCCCUAAUAUUACAUAUGUUUAAAGUUUUGUAUGAUAAAGAUUUUAAAACCCUUCACAACAUUGUAAACUGACUAUACCUCCACUUAAAAAAAUCUUAACUGCUCUAGCGUUAUAGCAAAAGCGAUGACAUGUCGUCCCAGAAAUUCCAGAUACUGAGAAAUCAAGAGGGGAAAGAGGGCGUUUAGGAAGAGCAGCCUCCCACGCCUGUCCCGGGCAGGUGAGCGCCGGGCACGCGUCUCCUCGGCAGGCCUGAAGCUGCUGGGCACAUUCGCAAGGUGGGAACCAGCGGCUGCCUGUUUACUCCACGCCUGCGACAAGGCAUCCCGUGGACCUAGUUACCAGUCGUGCUUAUCAAGAUAACGCUCGGUAGCUCACACUUACAACAAACACUUUUGUAAAGAUUUAUGUUAUUCCCACAUUUUCCCAAGUCAUUCUAGCUUGUGCGCGCUUCACAAAUUCAUUCCCGCUCCUUCUUACCAACUUAAGCUGCAGUCGGCUCAGCCCCCAUGUUGCUGUCCUCAGGGACCCCCUCCAGGCUGGGCUGACACAGCACUCGUCACUGUCCUUCAGAGACUCGAACCCAGGGUCUCACCGUGUUCAUGGUUAACAAUCAAGUCAAGAAGAAUAAAAGGAAUUUUAUUCCAGCAAACUGAGGAUUAUAGCCCAGGAAGCGGAUUCUCAGGAGCUCUGAGAACUGUUCUGCCUGUUAGGUGUCAGAGGCACAGUCAGGUACAUCUCUGAGACAAAGGCGAGAACAUCAAAACGACACAGCUGUACUUCACCUCGCUUCGCAGGUGAGCACGCACAAAGGCGCGGAGGGUCACCACGGCCCCUCAGAGCUGGGAAAGCAGGCUGUUCUUUCCAGAAGUUGCAUUGCUGGCAUCAGAAGAAAGAAAAAAGCUGCUCUUUAAGGCUGAGCAGGCACUCCCAUGGCUGCGGCGCUCUGGCUAACGUGUGAUGCGGACUCGCCCUGCGUGUUAGCGGGAGGACCGGAGGCCAACGAGGACAGCGGCAGAGAAGGCCAUGCUUAGCUGCUCCUGCCCUGCCUUCACAUGGCAGCUGUACUUCACCAGGUGGCUGCUGACAAAGCGGACCCCAGACCUGAUGAGCGCAGGUCUGCACCUGUCUUCACCUGAUGCCGCCCCAAACCCAGGGGCCGUGUGGCAAAGCGGGGCCACGUGCGUGGCUGCUGAAUGUGAGGGUGGAUGGGCUGGCGGGUAAAGCAAUGAGCGCUGUUAUUUGCCAGCGCCACUCGGCCGUUACCUUAGGCUUCAUACGUAAAAGGUGGAAAUGUGAGGGGAGGGUACAGCUCGGCGGUAGGGUGUGUGCUCAGCAGGCCAGUCCUGGGCUCAAUCCCCAGCACCUCCGCUAAGAUUAAACACAUAAAUAAAUAAACCUAAUUACCUGCCCCCCCUAAAAAAUAAAAGAAUUGAAAUUUUACAA